rnacentral:rRNA from 1 species
UACAGAGGGGGCAAGCGUUAUUCGGUAUUAUUGGGCGUAAAGGGCGCGUAGGCGGCUUUUCAAGUGACGGGUGAAAUCCCUCGGCUUAACCGAGGAACUGCCUGUCAGACUGGAAGGCUUGAGACCGGGAGAGGUGAGUGGAAUUCCCAGUGUAGCGGUGAAAUGCGUAGAUAUUGGGAGGAACACCAGUGGCGAAGGCGGCUCACUGGACCGGAACUGACGCUGAGGCGCGAAAGCGUGGGGAGCAAACAGG